rnacentral:rRNA from 1 species
GACGAACGCUGGCGGCGUGCUUAACACAUGCAAGUCGAACGAAGUGGCGAACGGGUGAGUAACGCGUAAUCAACCUGCCCUUCAGAGGGGGACAACAGUUGGAAACGACUGCUAAUACCGCAUACUGAAGGAGGGGAUUGCGUCUGAGUGGCUAGUUGGAGGGGUAACGGCCCACCAAGGCGAGGAGCAGUUGCCGGUCUGAGAGGGUGGACGGCCACAUUGGGACUGAGACACGGGCCAAGCUCCUACGGGGGGCAGCAAGGGGGGAUCUUCCGGAAUGGAAUAAAGUCUGGCGGAGCAAAGCCGCGGGAGUUGUGACAGCCUUCGGGUUGUAAAGCUCUGUUAAUCGGGACGCGGUACCGGAAUAGAAAGCCACGGCUAACUACGUGCCAGCCGCCGCGGUAAUAC